rnacentral:rRNA from 1 species
AUUGAACGCUGGCGGCAUGCUUUACACAUGCAAGUCGAACGGUAACAGGGAGCUUGCUCCGCUGACGAGUGGCGAACGGGUGAGUAAUGCGUCGGAACGUGCCGAGUAGUGGGGGAUAACGCAUCGAAAGGUGUGCUAAUACCGCAUACGAACUGGGGUUGAAAGUGAGGGACCUUCGGGCCUCACGCUAUUCGAGCGGCCGACGUCUGCUUAGCUAGUUGGUGAGGUAAAGGCUCACCAAGGCGACGAUCAGGAGCGGGUCUGAGAGGAUGGUCCGCCACACUGGGACUGAGACACGGCCCAGACUCCUACGGGAGGCAGCAGUGGGGAAUUUUGGACAAUGGGCGCAAGCCUGAUCCAGCCAUGCCGCGUGUCUGAAGAAGGCCUUCGGGUUGUAAAGGACUUUUGUCCGGGAGCAAAUGCUGGUGGCUAACAUCCACCGGAGCUGAGAGUACCGGAAGAAUAAGCACCGGCUAACUACGUGCCAGCCGCCGCUGUAACAC